CGCGCAGGCGGCUUGGUAAGUCAGAUGUGAAAUCCCUGGGCUUAACCCAGGAAGUGCAUUUGAUACUGCCUCGCUAGAGUACGGGAGAGGAAAGUGGAAUUCCUGGUGUAGAGGUGAAAUUCGUAGAUAUCAGGAGGAACACCGGUGGCGAAGGCGACUUUCUGGCCCGAUACUGACGCUCAGGCGCGAAAGCGUGGGGAGCAAACA
rnacentral:rRNA from 2 species